UUAAGUUCAGCGGGUAUCCCUACCUGAUCCGAGGUCAACCUGAAAAAAUAGAUUGAGGGGGUCGGCUGGCGCCGGCCGGGCCUGCAAGAGCGGGUGACAAAGCCCCAUACGCUCGAGGACCGGACGCGGUGCCGCCGCUGCCUUUCGGGCCGCCCCCCCCGGGAAGGGGGGCGGGGCCCAACACACCAGCCGGGCUGGAG
rnacentral:misc_RNA from 1 species